UACGUAGGGUGCGAGCGUUUAAUCGGAAUUACUGGGCGUAAAGCGUGCGCAGGCGGUUUUGUAAGCCAGAUGUGAAAGCCCCGGGCUUAACCUGGGAAUGGCAUUUGGGACUGCAAGGCUAGAGUGUGGCAGAGGAGACUGGAAUUCCUGGUGUAGCAGUGAAAUGCGUAGAUAUCAGGAGGAAUACCGAUGGCGAAGGCAGGUCUCUGGGUUAACACUGACGCUCAUGCACGAAAGCGUGGGGAGCAAACAGGG
rnacentral:rRNA from 1 species